UGGGGAAUUUUGGACAAUGGGGGAAACCCUGAUCCAGCCAUCCCGCGUGUGCGAUGAAGGCCUUCGGGUUGUAAAGCACUUUUGGCAGGAAAGAAACGUCAUGGGUUAAUACCCCGUGAAACUGACGGUACCUGCAGAAUAAGCACCGGCUAACUACGUGCCAGCAGCCGCGGUAAUACGUAGGGUGCAAGCGUUAAUCGGAAUUACUGGGCGUAAAGCGUGCGCAGGCGGUUCGGAAAGAAAGAUGUGAAAUCCCAGAGCUCAACUUUGGAACUGCAUUUUUAACUACCGGGCUAGAGUGUGUCAGAGGGGGGUGGAAUUCCGCGUGUAGCAGUGAAAUGCGUAGAUAUGCGGGGGAACACCGAUGGCGAAGGCAGCCUCCUGGGAUAACACUGACGCUCAUGCACGAAAGCGUGGGGAGCAAACAGG
rnacentral:rRNA from 1 species